rnacentral:rRNA from 1 species
CCUACGGGUGGCAGCAGUGGGGAAUCUUGGGCAAUGGGCGCAAGCCUGAUGCAGCAACGCCGCGUGAAGGAAGAAGGCUUUCGGGUUGUAAACUUCUUUUCUGAGGGACGAAGAGAGUGACGGUACCUCAGGAAUAAGCCACGGCUACCUACGUGGCAGCAGCCGCGGUAAUACGUCGGUGGCAAGCGUUAUCCGGAUUUAUUGGGUGUAAAGGGCGUGUAGGCGGGAAAGCAAGUCAGAUGUGAAAACUGAGGGCUCAACCCUGAGCCUGCAUUUGAAACUGUUAUUCUUGAGUGCUGGAGAGGCAAUCGGAAUUCCGGGUGUAGCGGUGAAAUGCGUAGAUAUACGGAGGAACACCAGUGGCGAAGGCGGAUUGCUGGACAGUAACUGACGCUGAGGCGCGAAAGCGUGGGGAGCAAACAGGAUUAGAUACCCUUGUAGUC